GCUAGGAAUAUAACUCAGUUGGUAGAGUGCUUGCCUAGCAUGCACAAGGUCCUGGGUUCAAUCCCCAGUACCAGCA